AUAAUACAUAAUAUUAGAUAAAACCAAAACAUAAUAAAUAAUCAUCAUAAAGAAGUUCAAAUUCAAACAAGGCGCCCAAAUAACUAGAGGGGCACACUAACCCCGAAACCCGGCCACACUAAGUCGGGCAAUUCGGACAUACGGACAUACGGGCACACUAAGCCAAGGGCUAUAUAAAGCGGGCGGCUGGCCUCAGUAAGGGCAGUCGGUGGUCGGAGUCGACCGAGGUGGACGUCACCAGCGAGCGGGAAAGCAGCAAGAUCAGGACCGGGAUCAACAAGUGCUGACUUCAGGGUCCCGUAUAAUUCUCCACGCCGACUUCAGGGUCCAACAGCAUCUGCUUACGUUGAUUCCAGGGCACUCGACGGAAUUCGGAGCAGCCGCGUACGGAAGACCGCGUCCCCGGACGAAGACGCGAGAUACGAAGAGCCUCGCUGUGGAAGACGGAAACUAGGCCGAGGGAGCUCCAUACAGUUCUAUAUAAUCAUUGUAACCGAGAAAAGGAAUGAAUAAACUCUGCGUCUAUAUUUAA